GUAAAGUUCUAUUAGUUACUCCUACAUAUGUUGCCUCCAUGUUUCUUGAUGGAUACUUAACUGGUAUUGUGUUUACACCCGAUCUCUCCAUAUCCAUCUUCUGGUCUUUUUCAUUGCGGAGCGCGUUAAAGAGGGAUGGUGGUCUCCUUAUAGAAAUUCUCUUUCUAUAUUUACGGAUAACAUCUCUUAUAGUGCCUGAUGUACUUAUAGGGUAUGGGACAGUGAUAAAAUCAUCUUGCUGGGUUGUAUGAUGGUGAUUAUUAUAGGAAUUACUUUGCAGAUUAGUUUUUAUUUUCUGAUGUAAUCUAUCUAGGAACUUAGCGUAUCCGUGGUCAUAUCCUAGGCGAUAUAUAAAUUUAAUAUCUUC
rnacentral:lncRNA from 1 species